rnacentral:rRNA from 2 species
GUGAGCAACCUGCCCUGGACUCUGGGAUAAGCGCUGGAAACGGCGUCUAAUACUGGAUAUGAGACGUGAUCGCAUGGUCGUGUUUGGAAAGAUUUUUCGGUCUGGGAUGGGCUCGCGGCCUAUCAGCUUGUUGGUGAGGUAAUGGCUCACCAAGGCGUCGACGGGUAGCCGGCCUGAGAGGGUGACCGGCCACACUGGGACUGAGACACGGCCCAGACUCCUACGGGAGGCAGCAGUGGGGAAUAUUGCACAAUGGGCGGAAGCCUGAUGCAGCAACGCCGCGUGAGGGAUGACGGCCUUCGGGUUGUAAACCUCUUUUAGCAGGGAAGAAGCGAAAGUGACGGUACCUGCAGAAAAAGCGCCGGCUAACUACGUGCCAGCAGCCGCGGUAAUACGUAGGGCGCAAGCGUUAUCC